rnacentral:misc_RNA from 1 species
ACACCUCAACUCUUGUGGUUUCCCACAAUGAGCUUGGACUGUGGAGGUUUUGUUGGCCCUGGGGCCGGCUCCUCUCAAAUGGAUCAGCUUACCGGUGUUUGGUGGGCAUCAUGGGUGUGAUAACUAUCUGCGCUCGUGGUUGUCUCCAAAUAACCUCCAGUGAUGGAGGUUCGCUGGAGCUUAUAAAUGUCUCUCCCCAGUGAAGACAGCAUUCGAAC